UACGUAGGGGGCAAGCGUUGUCCGGAAUCAUUGGGCGUAAAGAGCGUGUAGGUGGCUCGGUAAGUCCGCUGUGAAAGUCCAGGGCUCAACCCUGGAAAGCCGGUGGAAACUGUCGAGCUCGAGUCCGGAAGAGGCGAGUGGAAUUCCUGGUGUAGCGGUGAAAUGCGCAGAUAUCAGGAAGAACACCGGUGGCGAAGGCGGCUCACUGGCUCGUAACUGACGCUCAUGCACGACAGCGUGGGGAUCAAACAGG
rnacentral:rRNA from 1 species